UGAGGCACCGAGGUGCCAUUUUCAAAUUGAAAUUGUUCCAUUUUUGCAUGAAACAUUUCAGUUUUCAAUCCAAAGAAAUUAAAAUUUUUCCACUGAUUUAAGAAAAAAAAUUCUGACCAAUUCAAAUAAAAAGUGCCAUGAACCCAACAGCAUCUGUCACAGAUGAAAAUCCAACCUUUUCAGAAAGCUCACUUUGCAAUAUAGCUCCAUUUCCCCCACCCCCAACUCUGGGCUCAGCAGAAUCUUUUCAAAACAAGAGUUGUCCCACAACUACUCAUGUUAAAGCCACAGUAAGACACCUCACCGCAUCUUGGAUACAACUUACAUUCACACAAGUCUCUUCUUUGGCAUGAAACGUAAAACCAGAUCUCAACCAUCCAUGAUCAUUCAAGAUCCCAUUGUCGUUUCCCCCUUAUCCAAUUUCUAUAGCGGGAAAGAGCGGAAAUCUGAGAUUUUCCACUCACCCAAGACAUUCAGAGAAGCUUCUGAUCUGAAUCAUCAAAACUUUUGAAGUCUGUUCAUCAUUACUUUCCAUGGUUCUCAGUUCAGAAGUCAAAAACCUUCAUGACUUGGUCUUCUUCAGUCACUACCACCAACUAUUCCUCUUCACUGUUGUUCAUUCUCCCAUAUGCUCCCCUUGCAGUACUAGCAUACAGCCUUUCAAGUAGAAGUGUUGGUCAAAAUAAUGACCAUGCUGGUGAAGGGGCGACCAGUGCAAGGACUAUGAAACAUUUGAGUCCCUCUUAAUAGUCCCUCAGAAUAGGGCUUGCAGGUUGCACAAGCCCCUCUGCAUAGAAAUGAACAUAAUCCAUUUUCAGUUUGCAACCAAGAACACCCAGAGACGUGCCUGCAGGGAGCAGGUCCUGAGCAAUUUAAAGGCAGAAAUCUAUUCAUACGUAACAUUCUGUGGUCAGAGGAGAACAUGCCUAUAGACAUGUAGGCCCACAAAUAUCCCCUUCUCUCUCUCUCCUCCACCCUUCAAUGCUUCAAUUCUGUAUUUUUUUACAGAAUAAUUUAGCCAAAGAUUUCCAAAGAAGCCAAAGGGGCUUGGAUGCCCAAUUCCCAAUUAAAAAUAAAAGAUUCCCAGGAAAUUGGCAUCCAAAUCCCUCAGGUUGUUUUGAAAAGCCCAGUCUUAAGUAUUUCUGUCUAUCGCCAGACACACUCAUCUGCUGUUGGUCUGUCUAUCCAUUCCCCAACUCCAAUUCCUCACCCAUGAAUUCAGUGCAAACAAAACCCUCUACCUCUUAAAAUAUUAGCCAUUAAAGGCACUUCAGAAACAGCCUCUUAAAAGCAUGGGGAGAGAUUUUCAAAAGACCCUGAGCAAUGUAGGAAAUCCCACUCUUAGUCUCUUUCUUUAACAUUGGGACCAUGGAGUUUCUUUAUUGGAUUAAGCCGUUGAGCUGCCAAAUCCAACCUCCCAACUCCCAUUGAAUCAGAUCGGGAGUUCCCCAAGUGGAGUCAAUGGGCCAGGUCCCCAGCUGGUGUAAACUGGCUGUAUCUCCACUGCCUACAAUGGAGCAAUACCAAUCUACACCAGCUGAGAAUCCAACUCUACGUCUUCCACAGGGAGGGGAAAGCCCUCCAUUGAACCUGGCUGAUAACUUGCUCUGGGAGGGAACAGAAAUGGCUUGACCUCCCCUGAUACCAACACCUCCAACCUACCUACUGGAAACUCCACCUAACCCAAUUCCCCUCCCAGCGUGCUCCCCAUAGCAGUACUCAGAGACUCCACUGGAUGAUGCCACCAAUUGGUCCUGACCCUGUGUAUGUGUGUGUUGUCCAAAGUUUAUCUAGAUGGGUUUGUGGAUGCCGAAGAGGAAGACUUCUACAACCUCUGGACAACAGCCUCCACUUUUAUCAUCCUCUUCCUCCUGAGUCUUUUCUACAGCACCACAGUGACACUGAUCAAGGUGAAAUAAACCCAACAGCCCAAGAUUGUUCCAACCAAAGGAGCCCACGGAAAGCGAUUUUCCUGAAGAACAGUUCCAGAUUUUGCUCAACUCUGUCACCUGCGUAAUUGUUGUGUUCACCUGCCUGUGGAACGUUCUCAGACAUCAUCUGAAUGUAACUGGACUUUCUGUCUAUUGUUUAUGCUCUUUCAUCUCCAUUUUUAAUGCACGUUUGGCCAGUUUUUUAUUUCUUUCUGUCCUGGUAAUCUCUGCUUUAUGCAAAAUGCAAUCUCUGCUGGCAUAAGAAGUUGCACAUUAAUGGAUAUAUGUAAUCAAAUUGCACAACUUGUCAUUUCCCCAGGCGUUUGUGUUUCUCACCCUGUACAUAUUUUUCAUGUUGAAAUAAAGAGAUUUAUUAUGUUGACAUA